CAAACACGUGGAGAAAGAAACGCAAUCUGUUCCUCCGAUGAUACUAACUGUAACACUGACGUUUACCCGCUCACGGAAAGGAAAAUGCCUUCGUUAAAGAGCCAUGGCGUGAGCCUGCAAAACGUAUUUAGUGGGUAUGGCAUCACAAACAAUUCAAAAUGAUCUUAGGAAGCCCGAAAGAUACUUUUAAAUGGCAUGCCGAACCGAAAUGUGAAAAUGCAUGGCAGAUGUGUUACCUUGGCAACAACAAGGUCACCAGAAGCUUUCCUUUACAGGGGAACAGAAAAGACAUUUCCUGUGUGUGCGCUGCCCGGCGGAGAGAGAUGAAGGGGGCUGGAGGAGUGGCACUGCUGGGUUCACUUACUGCCCUGCUGGAGCCUCCUCCGGCCCGCAGGACUGCUGCUUCUGAAACCUCCUGCUGCGUGGGGUUCCUCAUCAUAAAUCCAGGUCGAUGUGGCGGUUAGUUUUCGAUCGGUCACGUGACUCAACAUGGCGCCGUCGAGAGGAGAAAUCGCGCACAUAAACACUUCGAUCUUCAGUCUUCAUCCAUUAAUGUGAGAAGAACAUGUAACGCUAUAUGUAGGACACUGACCUAAACUGCUUGACCUCUGGCAAGGGCGGUCAAAAGGUCAACUCACUUGACAUCUCUGCCCACGUCUUACUGAUGAACAGACUUGGACCCAUCGGACAAGCGCUCCGGCGCACAUCUGUGCGUGUGAGACAAACAAUAUCAAGUGCGGGCGUAAAAUGACACAUGGAAGUAAUCUGUUCAUCUCUGCUCUGGGCAAGAGGCAUUUUUAAUUUCACUGGAGGAUAAAAAGCCAGCGGCAGAGCUCCAUCCAUUUUGUACGGUACCUUAAUUUCACACAGCCCACAGAAAAAUUGGCAGUCGAUUUGUUUUUUGAAGAUCCCUCCAUUGAUAGUAAUUAAAUUUGCUCUUGUCUCUCGUUUUUUUUCCUCUUUUCUCCAUAUCUCCUCCUCUCUUCCCCAUCUGUAUGCUUCUACUCCCCUCUUCUCAUUCUCAUUCGCUGUCAUCCCUCACUGUCACGCGGCCGCUCCGAGCCAUCGACCUCUGCUCUCAGCCCCGGUUCAGCAGCGGGUCACCGGAGGGAGGGGGGCUCGUGUUAUUGGGGGGUGCCAGCUUCCUUCCCUCGCCGUGGAUACAGCUGCUGCUGCCAUGGCAACUGGCUUGCAGACUGCGCAAGGACCUGCGUGCAGAUACUUGCAGAGACUUACGGAGAAAGACGCUCUAAUGGUGUGUUACAGGACCCUGUUGUGCUUUAAAGCAGGUUUAACCGCAUAAGUGAAAAUGAUGCGGGACGUCCUCAGACUAGGACUUUUAUGUUUUAUUUGCUGCUCACUACAGUAGGGCUUAGGUUCGGGAACUUUCCUUUCCUUUGUGGGAUAGGAGCAGAGUUUGUUUGGCAAUUGUUUGAUGGGAAAUUUAGGAUGUUGAUCAGGAACAUGUCCUCGUUAUCUUAGUUAUGUAAUGAGGACUUGGUUUGAGUUUAGGGAAGCACCCAUAUUUCAGUUUGACAAGCUGAUAAUUAUUUUUGUCUUGUAGUGAUUAUAACAGGUAAAUUGCCAAUAUUACAAUAUAAAAUAAUAGGUAAAAAAAUAAUGCAAUUAAAAUAAUCUUAA